rnacentral:rRNA from 1 species
AUUGAACGCUGGCGGCAUGCCUUACACAUGCAAGUCGAACGGCAGCACGGGGCAACCUGGUGGCGAGUGGCGAACGGGUGACAAAUGCAUCGGCACGUACCUUUCAGUGGGGGAUAACGUAGCGCAAGUUACGCCAAUACCGCAUAUUCUGUGAGCAGGUGAGCAGGGGAUCGCAAGACCUUGCGCUGAUUGAGCGGCCGAGGUCAGAUUAGCUAGUUGGUGAGGUAAAGGCUCACCAAGGCGACGAUCUGUAGCGGGUCUGAGAGGAUGAUCCGCCACACUGGAACGGAGACACGGUCCAGACUCGUACGGGAGGCAGCAGUGGGGAAUUUUGGACAAUGGGGGCAACCCUGAUCCAGCCAUGCCGCGUGAGUGAAGAAGGCCUUCGGGUUGUAAAGCUCUUUCGGCCGGGAAGAAAUCGCACGGGCUAAUACCCUGUGUGGAUGACGGUACCGGAAUAAGAAGCACCAGCUAACUACGUGCCAGCCGCCGCGGUAAUAC